rnacentral:rRNA from 3 species
GUACCUUUUGUAUAAUGGGUCAGCGACUUAUAUUCUGUAGCAAGGUUAACCGUAUAGGGGAGCCGGAGGGAAACCGAGUCUUAAUUGGGCGUUAAGUUGCAGGGUAUAGACCCGAAACCCGGUGAUCUAGCCAUGGGCAGGUUGAAGGUUGGGUAACACUAACUGGAGGACCGAACCGACUAAUGUUGAAAAAUUAGCGGAUGACCUGUGGCUGGGGGUGAAAGGCCAAUCAAACCGGGAGAUAGCUGGUUCUCCCCGAAAGCUAUUUAGGUAGCGCCUCGUGAAUUCAUCUCCGGGGGUAGAGCACUGUUUCGGCUAGGGGGCCAUCCCGGCUUACCAACCCGAUGCAAACUGCGAAUACCGGAGAAUGUUAUCACGGGAGACACACGGCGGGUGCUAACGUCCGUCGUGAAGAGGGAAACAACCCAGACCGCCAGCUAAGGUCCCAAAGUCAUGGUUAAGUGGGAAACGAUGUGGGAAGGCCCAGACAGCCAGGAUGUUGGCUUAGAAGCAGCCAUCAUUUAAAGAAAGCGUAAUAGCUCACUGGUCGAGUCGGCCUGCGCGGAAGAUGUAACGGGGCUAAACCAUG